rnacentral:rRNA from 1 species
GAUGAACGCUGGCGGCGUGCCUAAUACAUGCAAGUCGAGCGAACAGAUGAGGAGCUUGCUCCUCUGACGUUAGCGGCGGACGGGUGAGUAACACGUGGAUAACCUACCUAUAAGACUGGGAUAACUUCGGGAAACCGGAGCUAAUACCGGAUAAUAUAUUGAACCGCAUGGUUCAAUAGUGAAAGACGGUUUUGCUGUCACUUAUAGAUGGAUCCGCGCCGCAUUAGCUAGUUGGUAAGGUAACGGCUUACCAAGGCGACGAUGCGUAGCCGACCUGAGAGGGUGAUCGGCCACACUGGAACUGAGACACGGUCCAGACUCCUACGGGAGGCAGCAGUAGGGAAUCUUCCGCAAUAGGCGAAAGCCUGACGGAGCAACGCCGCGUGAGUGAUGAAGGUCUUCGGAUCGUAAAACUCUGUUAUUAGGGAAGAACAAAUGUGUAAGUAACUAUGCACGUCUUGACGGUACCUAAUCAGAAAGCCACGGCUAACUACGUG